CCCCAGGUCAGGCGGGACUACCCGCUGAGUUUAAGCAUAUAAAUAAGCGAAGGAGAAGAAAUUUACUAGGAUUCCCCUAAUAACCGAAUUGUAGUCUGGAUUAGAGUCCUCAGCGAAGGACCGAGCCCAACUCCCAUGGAAAGGGGCACCUGGGAGGGUGAGAGCCCCAUUCGGCAUGGACCCGAUCGCCCCAUGAGGCGCCGUCGACGAGAUUGGUUGUUUGGGAAUGUAGCCCAAAUCGGGCGGUAAACUCCGUCCAAGGCUAAAUACAGCGAGAGAUCGAUAGCAAACAAGCACCACGAGGGAAAGAUGAAAAUGACAUUGAAAAGAGAGUCAAAAAGUGCUUGAAAUCGCCGGGAGAGAAGCAGAUGAGGGCCGACGAUGCGCCCUGGCCGUAUGCAGAACGGCUUCGGCUGGUCUACGAAUUGGCUCAGGGCGUGAACUGUUGUUGACUGCGCCGGCGGCCAAAGCUUGGGGGCCUCGCGCCUCCGAUAGCCAUCGUCGGCGCAGCCGGUCACCGCGCCCCUCGGGGCACUGCGUUGCAACGGCCUGCAGGCUCCCCAUCCAACCUGUCUUGAAACACGGACCACGGAGUCUGACAUGCGUGCGAGUCGACGGGUUUUGAAACCUGGAAUACGCAAGGAAUCUGACGAGUGGCAGGCCCUCGCGGGCCAUACCUCUGGCCGCCCUGAUCUUCUGUGAAGGGUUCGAAUUGGAGUACGCAUGUCGGGACCCGAAAGAUGGUGAAUUAUGCCUUGAGCGGGCGAAGUCAGAGGAAACUCUAAUGGAGGCUCGAAGCGAUACUGACGUGCAAAUCGUUCGUCUGACUUGGGUAUAGGGGCGAAAGACUAAUCGAACCAUCUAGUAGCUGGUUCCCUCCGAAGUUUCCCUC
rnacentral:rRNA from 2 species